rnacentral:rRNA from 1 species
GACGAACGCUGGCGGCGUGCUUAACACAUGCAAGUCGAGGGCACUUGCUCAGCAAUGGUCAAGUGACCGGCGAACGGGUGCGUAACACGUGAGCGACCUUGCCUCGUGGUGGGGGAUAGCCGGCCCAACGGCCGGGUAAUACCGCAUAGGGUGGUCUUUUCGCAUGGAGAGACUAGCAAAGCCCUGGAGCAAUCCAGUGGCGCCACGAGGGGGGGCUCGCGGCCUAUCAGCUAGUUGGGGGGGUAAUGGCCCACCAAGGCGACGACGGGUAGCUGGUCUGAGAGGAUGGCCAGCCACAUUGGGACUGAGAGACGGCCCAGACUCCUACGGGAGGCAGCAGUGGGGAAUCUUGCGCAAUGGGCGAAAGCCUGACGCAGCGACGCCGCGUGAGGGAUGACGGCCU